UUCAAAUCCUAGGUUGGGUCAUACUUUAGAGCUGAACAGUGAUAACGCAUGCAAUUGCACAUGGGACAACAUGUGAAGUUUCAAAAACACAUCUUUUCACAUGUGAAGUGUUCCAAAAACACAUGUCACAUGUGAAAUAUCAUGUGACACGCAGAGGAGUAGGUGGACCAGGCAGAGGAGUAGGUGGACCAGGCAGAGGAGUAGGUUUACCAGGCAGAGGAGUAGGUUUACCAGGCAGAGGAGUAGCUGGACCAGGCAGAGGAGUAGCUGGACCAGGCAGAGGAGUAAGUGGACCAGGCAGAGGAGUAGGUGGACCAGGCAGAGGAGUAGGUGGACCAGGCAAAGGAGUAGGUGGACCAGGCAGAGGAGUAGGUGGACCAGGGAGAGGAGUAGGUGGACCAGGGAGAAGGAGAGGUAGGGGGAGAGGAGUAAAUGCAUGGUGGAGUUCAAAGGAGAGUAAGAGCUGUUGUCACUGAUGAAAUAAGAGCCACCAUCAUAGACCAUGUGAUAAACCUUGGUCUAUCACUGAGAGAGACUGGUGAAAGAGUCCAGUCUAAUACCAUGGUCUAUCACUGAGAGAGACUGGUGAAAGAGUCCAGCCUAAUACCAUGGUCUAUCACUGAGAGAGGCUGGUGAAAGAGUCCAGUCUAAUACCAUGGUCUAUCACUGAGAGAGACUGGUGAAAGAGUCCAGUCUAAUACCAUGGUCUAUCACUGAGAGAGACUGGUGAAAGACUCCAGCCUAAUACCAUGGUCUAUCACUGAGAGAGACUGGUGAAAGAGUCCAGCCUAAUACCAUGGUCUAUCACUGAGAGAGGCUGGUGAAAGAGUCCAGUCUAAUACCAUGGUCUAACACUGAGAGAGACUGGUGAAAGAGUCCAGCCUAAUACCAUGGUCUAUCACUGAGAGAGACUGGUGAAAGAGUCCAGCCUAAUACCAUGGUCUAUCACAGAGAGAGACUGGUGAAAGAGUCCAGUCUAAUACCAUGGUCUAUCACUGAGAGAGGCUGGUGAAAGAGUCCAGCCUCAUCUCAGACAGUCAACCGUGGCUUCCAUUAUCUAUAAUUUUCAACGAACUAACAGGUAAGUAAUGCAUUUCACAAGGGCUUCUUCUAUCAUUGCUGUUGCUAUGUCCUACAGUAACUGUAGGCCACCAGUAUUUUUGUUCCUCUAAAGGACGCAACGUCUUCCUCCGUCUGGGGGAAGAGGAUAGCUCCUCAGUGAAGACCAAGAGCAUGCCAUUGUAGGACUGGUCAUUGCAGACAAUGCAAUAAAACUGAGAGAAAUUCAGACCAGAAUUGUAGAGGACAACCUGGUAUUUCCCAAUGUGGAAAGCAUCAGCCUGACUACCGUUGGCUCGGACUCUGACCAAACACAGAGUUGAAUGAAACAGUUGUACACAGUUCCUUUUGAAAGGAACAGUGAGCGGGUCAAGGAACUCCGUCACCAAUACAUCCAGGUAUGGUGUCUAUCCAAUAUGUCUUGUUCUAUAGUGAGUUUAACAGUAUGCUACUCUACAUGUAAACAUGUAGGACAUACUGAAAAGCACUUACACAUACUGUGUUUGAUUUCUUUCAGAGAGUCAUGGAGUUGCAGGCUAAUCAGACCCCCAUUAAAUCAUUUAUGUAGACAAGGCAGGGUUUAAUCUGGCAAAAACAUGUCGGCGGGACGAAAAGUAAUCGGGAAAAGGGCCACCGUUGAUAUGCUGGGUCAGAGAGGAGCAAAUAUCACAAUGUGUGC
rnacentral:lncRNA from 1 species